AAACACAAGUCUUGUAACAGAUUUGUCUUCUUUCACAUUCUGCCAUAUCGUCAUUACCUGGUCCCACAGCUCACACGCCUCCCACUCCAAGAGUAAACUUGGAAGAUUCUCCUGGGGACUCCGUGGGUGCAAUACUCAGCCCUCUCUAACCAGAAAGAGAAGGAACUAAGGUCCAUUCUCACAUUCCAAGGGCUUCCAUAAUCCCCACACUUCACUUGCCCCAUACGUGCUGCCAAAAAUAUAGCUGGUUAUAACAUCAAGAGAGCCAGAGUCAGAGGAUCUGUGUUCCAGUCUUGAAUACUAACUUCGUAUCUAUCAGUUUGAUUCCUCCUCUGUAAAAUGGAGAAUUGGACUCUUAGGACUUCAAACUCUCACCUUGUGAUUUUAUUCAAACAAAAUAGGUGCCUUCUUGCCGGCGAUGCCUGGAUGGCUUCCAGCUUCCCUUCCAAGAGGUAGCAAAGGAGCUGGUGGUGCAGCAGCUCAGAAAAGUGGAAGGGAAGCUGGCUUCACUCACUACUACAUCUUUCUCCAUAGUGGCAAAAUUUCAUCCCCAGAGAAAAGCCUAAUCACAGGACCUAAUGUACAAGACCUCUUUGCAGCUGGCCAAAAAGGCCUACGGCCAGGAGUCCAAGAGUGACCAUUAAGCUUCCUGAAUAGGGAACAAAGUUUUAGGGCACUCUGAAUCUUGCAUAAGGGCACAGAUCUGAAUAUGCCUAGGUUUAAGUAAAGUGUGGGAAAGCAGAGGCAGGGGGCAACAGGGUUGGAGCAGGAAAAGGCUAUAACUUCACUUUAUUUGUAUUUCCUCCCACACAAAACCAUCAAAACAGGAACAGAGAUGGGCAGGGAAAAGGGCUGAAAACUUGUUCAAUCCACAUGUUCUCAGGGCUAUUCCAGGGAGCGCUUGAGGCCGAAUGCCUGUUGGAGUAGCUUCAGAUCCAGCACUAAUUCCUCCCACCCUGGCCUGAAGUCUUCACAGAUUGGUGGCUCGAGCCCUGCAAUUAAUUCUCAUCCUUUGCCCACCUUGAUGUAAGGCAGGAAAGCAGACUGAAAUGCUCCACUCUGAUGGGCAAGGGGAAUCACAGCCCACAGAUGUACUGCACUUUCUGUGCUACAGGAGCAGAACUUGAAGCUGCUUCCAAGGUCUCAACACUUGUAGGCAGGGCUAGAGGCCGAUGGUGUAUGAGCGGCCUGUGGGGUUAUGAAUAGCAGAACAGACUGGUGCUGUCACAGCCCACUCAUACCACACCUUCUUGGAAUUGCUGCACCGCCAGAAACGGACACAGAUGGUCUGGCCUUCACGUACCGUAAUGGGCUGCUGUAAGAAGAAAGACAGGGAGGUUCAGGGUGGAGCUAAUGAAUUGUAUGUGGCAAUGUACUACUGAGCUAAGUGUGCAGAGAAAAGGAUAAAACAUGACAUUCCAACCCUCAUGAAGUUUAUUUGAAGUCUUUCAGAAUGAAUUAUCUGAACAAUCAGACACUAAACAAACCAUCAGAAGUGUGAUGAGUGCUAUGAACAUGCAGAGAACAUUGCGCUACAAGAGCACCUAGGAGGCAAGGCGAACCUAGUUCAGGCAGUCAGUUAAAGUUAUCUGACAAGUGGAAUGUUUAAGGGGACCUGGAAUAUAAGUCAGCUGAGUGAAGAGAUGAACAAAGAACUUUCCAGGCAAAAGAGGUGUGAAAGCCUGAGGCAGGAAAGAAGACAGGGUAUUAGAGAAACCAAAAGAAGGUCCACAGAAUCAUGACGAGCAUUGAGUAAUGUACAGAAUUGUUGAGUCAUUAUGUUGCACACCUGAAACUAAUAUAACACUGCUUUGUUAAUUAUACUUCAAUUAAAAAAAAAAAAGGGCUGAUGCAAUGUAACUAAGGAAGAGUAGCUGAAAAGACAAGCUUAAACUAGAUCACACCGUCUUACAAGGUUAAACCUUUCCCCUGAUGGCAGUGGGAGGUCAAUGAACGGUAUUAAACAGGACAGAGAUAUGACAAGAUCUGGGCUUUUAAAAGAUGACUCUUGCUCAAGGUAGAGACUAGACAGAAGAGGAGCCAGAGGAGAUGUGGGGAAGCUAAGGAGACAGGCACCGCAGACAUCUCAACAUCUACAACAGGGAUCCAAGAACAUGUGGGAGUAGCAGAACAUGGGUCAUACUCAAGCAUCCUCCUGAGAGCAGGGAAAGGGCAGAACACCAAUGGCAAAAGUUACUCCUUAACCCAUGGAGUAUUAAAGGUGAUUCCUACCUUAAUAGGGAAGAGGAUGGGAAACCAUGAGAACAUCCCAGGAGAGUGAGUUUCUGGACGGAUACCUGUUUGAAAAAAUGAAAACAUUGAGGUCUCUGUGACUCUGCUUUUUGCCUGGGUUGAGGAGCGUGUCUUCUGUGAACAGAGAAACAAGUAAUCAAAGAUCCCCAUUCAUUGAUUCUUGGGCUCCCUGUGCAUCUAAAUGAAACAUUAACAAAACUGCCCAAGUAACAUACUCGUGCCCUGCCAUCCACUGCCCCAGACACUCACUCAGGGUGAUGUCCUGAUAAAGCACAGUUUCAAAGUAGCCUGCAAAGCCAUGUAGCACUGUGUUCACUUCCACAGGAAACUCCAAGGUGCAAUAGCGGUUAUUGUCAAUCAUAGGAUCUGUCAAGGAAGAGUUAUGUGGAUGACAAGGGGCCAAAAGCUCUAGACAACUUGGUAAAGCAAGAGCAAAAAAACAGGAUGGGAAGCCUAGACAGGGCAGACCCAGGAUAGCAAGAGAAGAAACCAGAAAGGUAAGCUCUCACCCAUCCAGUCAGAGGAGAGUCAUGCGGGAACCCACCUCUGUUGGGAUGGCUGAAGGUAAAACAGGGCUGGGGCGCCGACAGCUGGUGGAAGUUGUGCAGCCGUACCACAUAAGGCAUCUCAAACUGGGCCUGUCCCGAGAGACCAAGCAAGAGCUGGAGCAGACAGGCAAGACACACCUACUUCCCCGGGGUAAAGAAGCCUGAGCCUCAGGGACACAGAAAAGGAUAACAUUUUCAUUUCAACUUUCGCUUUCCCACAUGCCCAGCUCCUCCAUCACUUCAUCUUCUCCAGUGCAAGAAAACAGUUGAUGCUAACGUAGAAAAAGAAGAUGACUAAAGAGAAAAGAGCUCUCCAGAAGACAGUGGCUCUUUACCUCAGGGUCACGGUCCUUUUCCCGACAGGCGCGGACCUCAUUAUACAGCUUGGAGGAGGAGAUGGGAGCCAGAAAGGAGGUAUACUCCCCAGGGAUGCUCACACCAUCAUCUGGAGAGUAGGAGGGUCAUAUUAGUUCCCAAGGGAUGAAAAUGGUGCGUCUAACUGAAGGUUCAAACCUCCUACAUCAAAACAUACCACAUGUGACAACAUGGA
rnacentral:lncRNA from 1 species